AAUUUUCCGUCGUCUUUUGGGCGAGUAUUACAAAAAAAGCUCUCGGCCGUUAAGGGAUACAAACAGACAAACAAUAGAGCACGUAAAGAUACAACCACCGGCUGAAGUACGGAAAAUAUCGCAGCAGCUCAGAGUGUAUCAGUUCAAUCGAAUCCAUACCGUUCAAGAUCAAACUAAAUAUGAAAAGAAAUGAGGUCUCUUUAUCAUUUGAUGAACAGAAACUUCUCCAUUUAGGUCCUGCAAACGUUCGAAGAAAAUCACGAAUCUCAUUGAGGAAACGCAUUUCGGCUUAAUGGUCCUAUCAAUAAGUAAAAUAUGCAUGCGUUAUUAGACAGCAACAAACAUACGUGUUCUGAAUGUGAGGAAAAUAACGAGGGAAAUGAACCCAAACCACGAGACUAUAGUGAAAUUAUACAGAUAUGAGCUAACCUAUUUUGUGGAUUACGAUUGCACAAUACAUUUUGUCACAAACUUAGAAACACAAACAGAGCCGUUAUCGGGAAAGUGGCGAUGGAAACUACAUAAAGAAAGACAAAAACAACAAGCUGGAAAUUGGAAUAUCCAUAUACUCUCUCUACUAAAACUCUCAAUUCAACAUCACCAUAAGUUAUGAUGACAUGUUUAAUAGCCUUAAUGAGUAGCAGGGAUGUUUGUGGAAAUGUAUUUUAUUUUCUUAGAACAAUUUUUUUCCGUGCAAAAACAAAAUUUAAUUGACAUAAGUCUUUUCGCUCUUAAAUCAUCAAGCAUAAGAGUAUAGCUUAAAUAUUUCGCAAAUACGACUUUUUAUUUCAACGUUUUAACAUUAUUUUUUGUUGAAUUUGUUUGUAUGGAAAUUUAACUUUUUCUCCAUACUUUAUAACGCUGAGUUAAAAAAAACUCCUUUUUCGUUUAUUUAACUAUCGUAAUAAACGAUAGUACUUUUAUGGUAUAUUCAGACAUAUAAUUGGCGCUUUCACUCUUUGUUAAGUGUUUGGCGCUGUGUGUCUUGAAAUUUUAUACAGCAUUAUUAUGUCCCUAUUGAAACUCCCUUAAA